GUGGGGAAUAUUGGACAAUGGGCGAAAGCCUGAUCCAGCCAUGCCGCGUGUGUGAAGAAGGUCUUCGGAUUGUAAAGCACUUUAAGUUGGGAGGAAGGGCAGUAAGUUAAUACCUUGCUGUUUUGACGUUACCGACAGAAUAAGCACCGGCUAACUUCGUGCCAGCAGCCGCGGUAAUACGAAGGGUGCAAUCGUUAAUCGGAAUUACUGGGCGUAAAGCGCGCGUAGGUGGUUUUGUAAGUUGGAGGUGAAAUCCCCGGGCUCAACCUGGGAACUGCUUUCAAAACUGCUGAGCUAGAGUACGGUAGAGGGUGGUGGAAUUUCCUGUGUAGCGGUGAAAUGCGUAGAUAUAGGAAGGAACACCAGUGGCGAAGGCGACCACCUGGACUGAUACUGACACUGAGGUGCGAAAGCGUGGGGAGCAAACAGGAUUAGAUACCCUAGUAGUCC
rnacentral:rRNA from 1 species